rnacentral:rRNA from 1 species
UACGAAGGGGGCUAGCGUUACUCGGAUUGACUGGGCGUAAAGGGCGCGUAGGCGGUUCGUACAGUCAGACGUGAAAUUCCUGGGCUCAACCUGGGGGCUGCGUUUGAUACGUGCGGGCUUGAGUUCGGAAGAGGGUCGUGGAAUUCCCAGUGUAGAGGUGAAAUUCGUAGAUAUUAGGAAGAACACCAGUGGCGAAGGCGGCCAACUGGCCCGAUACUGACGCUCAUGUGCGAAAGCGUGGGGAGCAAACAGG